UAUCAAACUUCGUAACAGAGGUAACAGAGGAAACAGAGUGAUUCAAGGUUUGGUGUCUGAGAGAAGUGCUUCCGCCAUCUCUGAUCCGAAACAAAGAAAAGCUUAUGGAAACGUAAUUCUCACCCUUUUCUGGUUCAUCUUUCCCUUCCCAACAACACCCAUCAAAUUCAAUCUAACAUACACAACCACUCACAGCUAAACCCUUCUCUCUCACACAAUAAACAGUAACAAGAAAGAAAACUGUUCCAGUAAUAACAGAUCCAUUUCUCUCUCCACCUCACCUUCUAAAAGCUCGCCUUUUCUUCAAUUCUCUCAAAACCCUAAUCCUCUCAGCCCUCUGAUCCACACCAUUUUCCAUGUCUGGGACGUAUUUACAUUUGGGUCUGUUUCUGUGCAUACUUUUUGUGUGCUGUUCAGCGACUUCGUCUUCUUCCUUCGCGUCUCGCCGUUCAAUCCUUCGAGAGGUCAAGAACGCUGUUAAUCAUCCCGAUUAUGCCAUUGAACUGAACGGCACGAAUUUCGAUGCCGUUCUCAAGGAAACUCCUGCUACUUUUGCCGUUGUAGAAUUCUUUGCCCAUUGGUGCCCUGCAUGUAGGAAUUAUAAGCCACACUACGAAAAGGUCGCCAGAUUAUUUAAUGGACCUGACGCAGUGCAUCCAGGAAUCAUAUUAAUGACAAGGGUAGAUUGUGCAUCAAAGAUAAAUACUAAACUAUGCGAUAAGUUUUCUGUUGGUCAUUAUCCUAUGCUUUUUUGGAGCUCUCCUUCUAAAUUUGUUGGUGGUGGUUGGGAUCCUAAACAAGAUAAAAAUGAUAUACGUGUGAUUGAUGAUGCACGCACUGCUGACCGGUUACUUAGUUGGAUCAACAAGCAAUUAGGCAGUUCGUUUGGCCUGGAUGAUCAGAAAUUUCAAAAUGAGCUUCUUUCAUCCAAUGUCUCAGAUCCUGGACAGAUUGCCAGAGCUAUCUAUGAUGUAGAAGAGGCAACUUCUACAGCUUUUGACAUCAUCUUAGAGCACAAGAUGAUAAAACCAGAAACUCGUGCUUCACUCAUUAAGUUCCUUCAGCUUUUGGCAGCUCAUCAUCCUUCUAGGAGAUGCCGGAAGGGUACUGCUGAAUUUCUUGUGAGCUUCGAUGACUUGUACCCAACAGAUUUUUGGUCAACUAAGCAGGAAGAUGAUAAUAGUUCAAUUAGGAACUUCAAGAUUUGUGGGAAAGAUGUGCCUCGCGGAUACUGGAUGUUCUGUCGUGGCAGUAAGAAUGAAACUAGAGGAUUCAGCUGUGGAUUAUGGGUUCUUCUGCAUUCACUCUCUGUGAGGAUAGAGGAUGGAGAGAGUCAGUUUACAUUCAACGCAAUAUGUGAUUUUGUUCACAACUUCUUCAUCUGUGAGGAAUGCCGACAACACUUUUACAAGAUGUGUUCAAGUGUUACUAGUCCUUUCAACACGGCCCGUGAGUUUGCACUCUGGUUGUGGAGUUCCCACAACAAAGUGAACGAAAGAUUGAUGAAAGAAGAAGCAUCACUAGGCACCGCUGACCCCAAUUUUCCAAAGACUAUUUGGCCACCAAAUCAACUUUGCGCUUCCUGUUACAAAGUCCUUGAUCAGAAGAGCAACAAAAUUGAAUGGAACCAAGACGAGGUCUUUAAGUUUUUGACUGAUUAUUACGGUAAAACACUAGCGUCUCUGUACAAGAACAGGAAUAUGGACGGAAAUGAUGGAGCCGAAGGAGCUGGAGAAGAUUUAAUAGUCGCAACUAAUGCAAUUGUGGUGCCUGUGGGAGCUGCAUUGGCUAUUGCUGUUGCUAGCUGUGCCUUUGGAGCACUUGCUUGUUACUGGCGUUCGCAGCAAAAGAGUCGGAAGUAUUUUCACCACCUACACUCUUUAAAGAACAUUUGAUAAUUAGGAGGGUAAUGAACUCUUUCAAAAAUUAACCAAUGACUGGGUCCUGAAGAAUUAAAAGGGGCCUAGGAGAACGUGGAAGUAGGAAUUGUAGACAAGUAAACUUCAAGGCAUGUGAGGUGCGUAGCAGCCUUCAUAGGCAUCCAAUUCAUGGUCUUACUCCAAAGAGUCUUGCCAACUUCCUUUUUGAAUGCUUCAUCAAUAGAAUGUACAGAAUACAAUUCUUGCUCUGGACACCAUUACUGAUUUGUGCUAUUUUCUUUCACCUUUUUUUUUUUGGCCUUGAGUCACAUCAUCUACUAUACAACCUAGGAUUUUGGGGGGAAAGGAGCACGCGACAUGUAACAUUUUUGCUUUGUAAUUUGGUGUUAUUUUUUCAAUAUCAAAGUAACUGUAUAAGCUAAAAGGCCUGACUUACAUAGUACGGUUUCACGUUUACCAAACAUUUGAAUGAAAUCAAAGUCUAAAAUCAUUUAAA